rnacentral:rRNA from 1 species
GAUGAACGCUGGCGGCGUGCCUAAUACAUGCAAGUCGAGCGAACAGGCGAGGAGCUUGCUCCUCUGACGUUAGCGGCGGACGGGUGAGUAACACGUGGAUCACCUACCUAUCAGACUGGGAUCACUUCGGGAAACCGGCGCUAAUACCGGAUAAUAUAUUGAACCGCAUGGUUCAAUGGUGAAAGACGGUUUUGCUGUCACUUAUAGAUGGAUCCGCGCCGUAUUGGCUGGUUGGUAAGGUAACGGCUUACCAAGGCAAGGAUGCGUAGCCGACCUGAGAGGGUGGUCGGCCACACUGGAGCUUGGACACGGUCCAGACUCCUGCGGGAGGCCGCAGUAGGGAAUCGUCCGCAAUGGUCGAAAGCCUUACGGAGCAACGCCGCGUGUGUUAUGAAGGUCUUCGGAUCGUAAAACUCUGUUAUUAGUGAAGAACAAAUGUGUAAGUAACUAUGCACGUCGUGACGGUACCUAAUCAGAAAGCCACGGCUAACUACGUG